rnacentral:rRNA from 1 species
GACGAACGCUGGCGGCGUGCCUAAUACAUGCAAGUCGAGCGGAAUGAUGAAGAAGCUUGCUUCUUCUGAUUUUAGCGGCGGACGGGUGAGUAACACGUGGGCAACCUACCUUGUAGAUUGGGAUAACUCCGGGAAACCGGGGCUAAUACCGAAUAAUCCAUUUUGCUUCAUGGCGAGAUGUUGAAAGACGGUUUCGGCUGUCACUAUAAGAUGGGCCCGCGGCGCAUUAGCUAGUUGGUAGGGUAAUGGCCUACCAAGGCGACGAUGCGUAGCCGACCUGAGAGGGUGAUCGGCCACACUGGGACUGAGACACGGCCCAGACUCCUACGGGAGGCAGCGGUAGGGAAUCUUCCACAAUGGACGAAAGUCUGAUGGAGCAACGCCGCGUGAGUGAAGAAGGUUUUCGGAUCGUAAAACUCUGUUGUAAGGGAAGAACACGUACGAGAGUAACUGCUCGUACCUUGACGGUACCUUAUUAGAAAGCCACGGCUAACUACGUG